rnacentral:rRNA from 1 species
CGAAAGCCUGACGGAGCAAGACCGCGUGAGGGAGGAAGGCUCUUGGGUUGUAAACCUCUUUUCUCAGGGAAGAAGAUCUGACGGUACCUGAGGAAUCAGCCUCGGCUAACUCCGUGCCAGCAGCCGCGGUAAUACGGAGGAGGCAAGCGUUAUCCGGAAUUAUUGGGCGUAAAGCGUCCGCAGGUGGCAGUUCAAGUCUGCUGUCAAAGACAGUGGCUCAACUACUGAAAGACAGCAAAUACUGAGCAGCUAGAGUGCGGUAGGGGCAGAGGGAAUUCCCGGUGUAGCGGUGAAAUGCGUAGAUUUCGGGAAGAACAUCGGUGGCGAAAGCGCUCUGCUGGACCGCAACUGACACUCAGGGACGAAAGCUAGGGGAGCG